AGUGAACGCUGGCGGUAGGCCUAACACAUGCAAGUCGAACGGCAGCACAGUAAUAGCUUGCUCUUACUGGUGACGAGUGGCGUACGGGUUAGGAAUACAUCGGAAUCUACUUUUUCGUGGUGGAUAACGUAGUGAAACUUACGCUAAUACCUCAUUCGACCUACGUGUGAAUGCAGAGGCUCUUCCGACCUUGCGCGAUUUCAUGAGCCGUUGUCUUAUUAGCUAGUUGGCGGGGUAACGGCCCACCAAGGCGACGAUGCGUAGCUGGUCUGAGAGGAUGAACAGGCACACUGGAAGUGAGAGACGGUCCAGACUCCUACGGGAGGCAGAAGUGGGGAAGAUUGGAAAAUGGGCGGAAGACUGAUCAAGCCAUACCGCGUGGAUGAAGAAGGGCUUCGGGUUGUAAAGCCCUUUUGUUGGGAAAGAAAAGCAGCAGGUUAAGACACCGCUGUUGUGACGGUACCCAAAGAAGAAGCACCGGCUAACUUCGUG
rnacentral:rRNA from 1 species